UAGGGAAUCUUCCGCAAUGGGCGAAAGCCUGACGGAGCAACGCCGCGUGAGUGAUGAAGGUCUUCGGAUCGUAAAACUCUGUUAUUAGGGAAGAACAAAUGUGUAAGUAACUAUGCACGUCUUGACGGUACCUAAUCAGAAAGCCACGGCUAACUACGUGCCAGCAGCCGCGGUAAUACGUAGGUGGCAAGCGUUAUCCGGAAUUAUUGGGCGUAAAGCGCGCGUAGGCGGUUUUUUAAAUCUGAUGUGAAAGCCCACGGCUCAACCGUGGAGGGUCAUUGGAAACUGGAAAAAUUGAGUGCAGAAGAGGAAAGUGGAAAUCCAUGUGUAGCGGUGAAAUGCGCAGAGAUAUGGAGGAACACCAGUGGCGAAGGCGACUUUCUGGUCUGUAACUGACGCUGAUGUGCGAAAGCGUGGGGAUCAAACAGG
rnacentral:rRNA from 1 species